UAUGAAAUGCUUGGACUGCUGCAGCUGCUACUAUUCCUCUUGCUUUUCGGCAAUUCCCACUGUGAUUUGAUUGCGAUAAAAAAAGGAAAAGAUGUAGUGGCUUGCUUGACAAAUGAUUACACGUCCGCGGUAGCGUUUGUAAAAAGACCUGAUGGCGACAAAGAUUUCACCAAAGUGGAUUACUCGGACGGCGAUGGAAAGCCUAUUCCGCUAAGCAAAUACGACUGUGAUUUGGUCACAGGAAAUUGUACGCAAUGGAAUUGGAAGAAAAGGAAUUACCAAGGAUGGUAUUUAGCUAGCGAAAUAGGUGGUGCCAUCACAGACUACCGU